CUUGACUCCCCUUCAUAUCUUUGGCCUUUGGUUUUGGAGGAGUGCCAGCUGCCUUUGCUCUCUGCUCCUUCGGUACUGGUUUCUUCUGAUCGGAAGAAGGCGACGGUGAUGGCUUCUUCUGAUCAGCAGGAGAAGCUGAAGGCAAUGGCUUCUUUUUCAGGGUUUUCCGGUCAUUGAUAUUGUUGCUUAGGGUAAUGGAGCCUUGCAGCUUGAGAGCUGAUGGGUUUGUGGUGUUCUCCUUCUUUGCCUGUGCUUUCUUCGGGUUCUCAGGGUGGACCAUGGAUCGCGGCUCCCAUGGUCGUGCUGCGAUCCAGCGGUCCAUCCAGCUCCAGCCCCAGCCACCCUUACCGACUUCAUAGCUGAAGUUUCCUAGACUUGUGGCAGACCUUGCUCUCCACUG
rnacentral:lncRNA from 1 species